AAUAUUGCGCAAUGGAGGAAACUCUGACGCAGCGACGCCGCGUGAGCGAUGAAGGUCUUCUGAUCGUAAAGCUCUGUCCUCAGGGCAGAAGAAAGUGACGGUACCUUAGGAGGAAGCCCCGGCUAACUACGUGCCAGCAGCCGAGGUAAUACGUAGGGGGCGAGCGUUAUCCGGAAUUAUUGGGCGUAAAGGUUGCGUAGGCGGCCUUUUAAGUCAGAUGUGAAAGGCUACGGCUUAACCGUAGUUAGCAUUUGAAACUAAAAGGCUUGAGUGCAGGAGAGGAGAGUGGAAUUCCUAGUGUAGCGGUGAAAUGCGUAGAUAUUAGGAGGAACAUCAGUGGCGAAGGCGACUCUCUGGACUGCAACUGACGCUGAGGCACGAAAGCGUGGGGAGCGAACA
rnacentral:rRNA from 1 species